UCUGGCACUUUCAGUGUCCGAGUUGUAAUUUGAAGAAGGUAUCUUUGGGUCUGGCUCUUGUCUAUGUUUCUUGGAACAGAACGUCACAGAGGGUGAGAAUCCCGUGCGAUGAGAUGUCCCAGACCUAUGUAAAGUUCCUUCGAAGAGUCGAGUUGUUUGGGAAUGCAGCUCUAAGUGGGUGGUAAAUUCCAUCUAAAGCUAAAUAUUGGCGAGAGACCGAUAGCGAACAAGUACAGUGAUGGAAAGAUGAAAAGAACUUUGAAAAGAGAGUGAAAAAGUACGUGAAAUUGUUGAAAGGGAAGGGCUUGAGAUCAGACUUGGUAUUUUGUAUGUUACUCUCUCGGGGGUGGCCUCUACAGUUUACCGGGCCAGCAUCAGUUUGAGCGGUAGGAUAAGUGCAAAGAAAUGUGGCACUGCUUCGGUAGUGUGUUAUAGUCUUUGUCGAUACUGCCAGCUUAGACUGAGGACUGCGGCUUCGGCCUAGGAUGUUGGCAUAAUGAUCUUAAGUCGCCCGUCUUGAAACACGGACCAAGGAGUCUAACGUCUAUGCGAGUGUUUGGGUGUAAAACCCGUACGCGUAAUGAAAGUGAACGUAGGUAGGACCUCCUUUAGGAGUGCACUAUCGACCGAUCCUGAUGUCUUCGGAUGGAUUUGAGUAAGAGCAUAGCUGUUGGGACCCGAAAGAUGGUGAACUAUGCCUGAAUAGGGUGAAGCCAGAGGAAACUCUGGUGGAGGCUCGUAGCGGUUCUGACGUGCAAAUCGAUCGUCGAAUUUGGGUAUAGGGCGAAAGA
rnacentral:rRNA from 1 species